CUAUAAAUAUCAUCUGGGUCUCUGUGAGCACCAUAAACAGCACCUGCAAUGCAGAUAACCCUUCUCACCCCUCGUAUGGACUAGUUACUCUCCUGCCAUCUGACAGAAGGUAUGUACAAAAGCAUCCAUGCCACUACCACCACCAGAUUUCACAGCAGUUUUUCCCCCUGAGGCAGCCAGAUUACUCAAGACGCUGCUGCCUCCCAACACUCACCUCAGCCAGUCAAACACUAACCCAGUAUGACUCAAUACCACCGCACACCCACACUUUACAAUGCUGCAUUAGAUCCUUAUUCAUUUCAGAGACAAUAUUUGCUGCUACACUGCUGCCAGUAAUACUGCUACGGCAGUCCAUGAUUUCCUCAUUUUUGCAACAAAGAUGUCCUUAAGAAAUUUUUCAGAACUGCGAUCCCGUGCAAUGCAUGCGAUGCAGCAAUCAGAAAACACAAAUAUGCAACAGAAAAAGCUUGAAGCCCUUCGUCAGAAUGAUUUCAUUUAAUACAGGUGUAUGAUAAUCACUUUUGAGCAAUUACAAGUGAUGAAUACUGGGUCUGAAUGUUAAUUGUGUGUGCUGUCACAU